GGCCUCGUAGCAUAAUUGAAUAGUGCACCUGAUUACGGCUCAGGAGGUUGCAGGUUUGAAUCCUGCCGAGGUCACCU
rnacentral:tRNA from 2 species